rnacentral:rRNA from 1 species
UACGUAGGGACCGAGCGUUGUCCGGAAUCAUUGGGCGUAAAGAGCGUGUAGGCGGCCACUUAAGUCCUGCGUGAAAUCUUGCGGCUCAACCGCAAGCGGUCGUGGGAAACUGGGUGGCUAGGGUGCGGAAGAGGGGAGCGGAAUUUCCGGUGUAGCGGUGAAAUGCGUAGAUAUCGGAAGGAACACCAGUGGCGAAAGCGGCUCCCUGGUCCAGCACCGACGUUCAGGCACGAAAGCGUGGGGAGCAAACAGG